rnacentral:rRNA from 1 species
GAUGAACGCUGGCGGCGUGCCUAAUACAUGCAAGUCGAACGCUGGAGAUCUAGCUUGCUAGAUCGAAGGAGUGGCGAACGGGUGAGUAAUACAUAAGCAACCUACCCACGAAGACUGGGAUAAUCUCUGGAAACGGGGACUAAUACCGGGUAGGUAAUCGGAAGGCAUCUUCUGGUUAUUAAAGGUUAAAAACACUGGUGGAUGGGCUUAUGGCGCAUUAGUUAGUUGGUGAGGUAACGGCCCACCAAGACGAUGAUGCGUAGCCGGCCUGAGAGGGUGAACGGCCACAUUGGGACUGAGACACGGCCCAGACUCCUACGGGAGGCAGCAGUAGGGAAUGUUCGGCAAUGGGGGCAACCCUGACCGAGCAACGCCGCGUGAGUGAAGACGGCCUUCGGGUUGUAAAGCUCUGUUGUAAGGGAAGAACGGUAGAUAGAGAAUAUCUAAGUGACGGUACCUUACCAGAAAGCCACGGCUAACUACGUG